AUGAAUACUAGCCAAGCUAAUUGUGUUCCUCUCCUCCUAUGCAGUGGCAGCAAACAGCAGUGCCCUCAGUAGUAUACGCAGCCUGCUGCGUGUAGGGGUGGCCUUAAGGGACCUUGGAGAUAGCC
ensembl:snoRNA SNORA70 Small nucleolar RNA SNORA70